GGGCUCUCCUCAGAGCCCAUGCGUGGAACAAAGGACAAGGCUGCUCCAGUUUAGAGUCUGAGAAGAUGCUCAGAGAGGUUUAACAACUUACCCUAAGUCACAAGGCCUAGUGAUGGAACCAAGAAUCAAAUAGAGAGCACAAGUAACGGGAAGUGUUUGCUUCAGCAUGUCGGUGAACUUGGGGCACACAAAUAAAAAGAAGCAAAAAAAAAAAAAAAAAAAGCCCAAAACAAAACCACUUUUUUAAAAGGCUCUUGCCCCCACUGGCGUCAGCUCCACCCUGUAAGGAACUAAAGCAGGAGCGGUUUCUAGAGACAAAAGCAGCUCCCUUCUCAUCUCUGAAAAUGGUGCCUUCCCCAAAUUGCUUUUUCAUGUUUCCCUCCUUGGAAUGUGAAAUGACCCGGUCCCAGCACUCUACUGUUAGAGCCCAUGGUGUUAUACACACGGGGUAGCUGUAGCUUUUGGCAGGGCCCUGGGGGAGAUUACAGGAGUUCCAGGAGGGAGAGGAAACUCUAGGGCUGAGGCACUGUGCUUGCCUUUGGCUGAAACAGGCUACUUCAAAAAUGGCUCCAGAAAAAGAAAGCCCAGAGGUGGUGAAGAGAGAGCAAACAAACUUGCAUUUUCUUUUUUAAAAAGUGGAAAUUGUUUACUUCACCUGCAAAGAAGAAGUCUCCCUCAAAAGGAGAAAAAA